UGUACCUUUCUCUGUAGAGGGCCAGAGGUCUUGUAGGUCAAUAAUGAUUUUGGAGUGCAACAGAAGUCCUCAAAGGGUCAAAAAGGGUAAAGAUUUUUUCCAUCUAUUCACAAAAUAAAAGUGAAGAUGGUUUUGUGGGUCAGGGAGCUACUAGGGAAUAAGCUUUCACUUCUCUCUUUUACUCUGUUUCUAAAACGAGUGGUAAAAUAUGCAGAUGCCAAAAGGAAGAAGUUCAUCUUCAGAAGUGCCUCAAAGGACAUCUCCAGGGACACCACGAGCUCCUCAUCAGCUCAAAACACCUG